UACGUAGGGGGCAAGCGUUGUCCGGAAUCAUUGGGCGUAAAGAGCGUGUAGGCGGUUCGGUAAGUCGGCUGUGAAAGUCCAGGGCUCAACCCUGGGAUGCCGGUCGAUACUGCCGGACUAGAGUUCGGAAGAGGCGAGUGGAAUUCCCGGUGUAGCGGUGAAAUGCGUAGAUAUUGGGAGGAACACCAGUGGCGAAGGCGGCUCACUGGACCGGUUCUGACGCUGAGGCACGAAAGCGUGGGGAGCAAACGGG
rnacentral:rRNA from 1 species